UACGUAGGCAGCAAGCGUUGUUCGGAGUUACUGGGCGUAAAGGGUGUGUAGGCGGUUUUUUAAGUUUGGUGUGAAAUCUCCCGGCUCAACUGGGAGGGUGCGCCGAAUACUGAAAGACUAGAGUGCGGGAGAAGAAAGUGGAAUUCCUGGUGUAGCGGUGAAAUGCGUAGAUAUCAGGAGGAACACCGGUGGUGUAGACGGCUUUCUGGACCGUAACUGACGCUGAGACACGAAAGCGUGGGUAGCAAACAGG
rnacentral:rRNA from 1 species